UGAGACGCAAGUUAAGUGGGUGUCUCAUCAUGUAUAUGGACGACCAGGAUUCGAGGAAAAGAUCAAUAGACGGCCGAAGAUUCGAGCUUUGGUGGUUCCCGGAUACCCGAAGGAACGAGUGUCGAGGGAUGGACAUGGGAGGGUUCAGAUACGGCGAUUGGACCGGGGCCGUCGACGGCGUUCUGGAGACUGGAGAGGAGCCCCAGCUGCCAGGAGGAGCCAAGCUUACCAGAUCAAACCAUGAAUCCCAAAUUGGAAGCAGCAACACAGCUGCAAAAGACUAAUGUUGAAUGAAGCAUGAGUGGAAUUUAGACUGUGAAGCUCAUGUAUCCAUGCCUUCUGAUAUUUCCUUAAGAAAAUAAGAAAAAUACAAGAGGAGAAUUACUGGCUCUGCUAAGUAAGCGAAGAUCGCAAGAGCUGGGCUUUGAUUGCAUUCAGCGUCAGGGCCAUGGAAGUGACUGUUUCUGAAUCUGCUGUGACAGAGCAUUCAAGCAUAGGGGACCUCUCAAAUCUUUUAAUUUCUUCGGGAGGGAUAUAGUGGGCCUGAGGCCUCCAUCGCGGAGGCAGGUGGAGCCAUGGUGGUUGGUGGAUAAAGGCCGGCUGGACACAACCAUGCUGGCCAGGAUAACGAGACAGAAGAUAUGGGAUUGAUGUGUACAAAGGCAAGGAACAAGAUAAAGAUCUUCAAAUGAGCAAUCCAUGAAGGAUGACCGAUUGCGCUGAAUAGAGAGGAAAGCAAUGCACAUGGGUGGCUCGAGCCAAGAAGUGGUCCUCAAGAAGCAUCUCGAGACAUAUCGAUAUUGCACUCAUGCAAGAAGACCCAAUGGAAGCAUAAAAGAAGAGUGUUCUUCCUCGAAGCAAGUACAAUCGGGUGAUUGGCAAUCCAUCCUAGGAAAUGAUCACCAUAGCAGGCUGCUGGAACAAAGAUGAGAGAGAGAGAUACCAUCACCACCAGAUGUGAACAUGGAGAUGUCACAGGACUUAGCAACUAUACUGAUAUGUCACCUGUCUUGUGGAAAUAGAGAGUUGUUCUCUGCAGUCAUAUUGCAUAGUUUCUGUCAGUGAUGGCUGAUAUCAUGACAACACUCUCCGGGGAUCUGUAAUCAAAUUUAGAUUUGGAUUCCAACGAGACUUAUCAUUUCUUUUUUCUAGUAUGAC